UUUAGGGUUAUCCCCUUAAUAUAUAAUAAUACAUUUUAUAAUAGUGAAAUUAGCUUUAAAAUUGUAUGUAAUUCUACGCCGUGUUUUAAGACACAUAAUUAGUAACAACAACAUAAUUUUAUGUUGAAUGAUUUUGAUUUAACAUCUAAGUUAUAAAUUUUUCAAUAAAAGCAUAUCAAUUAAUUUAAAUACAAAAAAAUAUAUAAAUUUUUACAAAUAAUUUUGUGACAAAUGAUGACAUUAUGCUAGAUAGAUAGGGACAUAUGAAAAUUAUGAUUAUAGCUUAACAUUUAAUCUGAUGUUACAAAAAUUACCUUUUGCCUUAAUUAAAAUAUAUUUGUUGCAAUCAAUUACUAUAUGAUGACAUAUAAGCCUUAGGACACCUAAUUACGAUAACUAUCGUAUGAUUUGAAUUUUUUUUUCUGAUGUGUAUUGAUUGUUCAAAAUAAAUGUUGUUAAAAUGACUAUGAUGAAUUAAACUUAGGACACCUGUACGACAUCUUUACAGAUGAUUGAGUAUAACAUUUAAACUGAAAGUCUAAAAUCAUAUAAGUUAAAUUAAGAUUAAUUUUAUGGAAAACGUUUAUUAAUGAUGACAUAUAAGCCUUAGGACACCUAAUUACGACGUUUGUCGAAUGAUUUGAGCUUUUCAUCUGAAUACUAAAUAUCUUAUGGUAUCUUAUCUGUGACAUAUGAUGACUUAAUGCUAGAUAGAUAGGGACAUAUGAAAACUAUGAUUAUAGCUUAACAUUUAAUCUGAUGUUACAAAAAUUUCCUUUUGCAUAAAUUAAAAUGUAUUUGUUGCAAUCAAUUACUAUUUGAUGACAUAUAAGCCUUAGGACACCUAAUUACGAUAACUAUCGUAUGAUUUGAAUUUUUUUUCUGAUGUGUAUUGAUUGUUCAAAAUAAAUGUUGUUAAAAUGACUAUGAUGAAUUAAACUUAGGACACCUGUACGACAUCUUUACAGAUGAUUGAGUAUAACAUUUAAACUGAAAGUCUAAAAUCAUAUAAGUUAAAUUAAGAUUAAUUUUAUGGAAAACGUUUAUUAAUGAUGACAUAUAAGCCUUAGGACACCUAAUUACGACGUUUGUCGAAUGAUUUGAGCUUUUCAUCUGAAUACUAAAUAUCUUAUGGUAUCUUAUCUGUGACAUAUGAUGACUUAAUGCUAGAUAGAUAGGGACAUAUGAAAACUAUGAUUAUAGCUUAACAUUUAAUCUGAUGUUACAAAAAUUUCCUUUUGCAUAAAUUAAAAUGUAUUUGUUGCAAUCAAUUACUAUUUGAUGACAUAUAAGCCUUAGGACACCUAAUUACGAUAGCUAUCGCAUGAUUUGAAUUUUUUUUCUGAUGUGUAUUGAUUGUUCUAAAUAAAUGUUGUUAAAAUGACUAUGAUGAAUUAAACUUAGGACACCUGUACGACAUCUUUACAGAUGAUUGAGUAUAACAUUUAAACUGAAAGUCUAAAAUCAUAUAAGUUAAAUUAAGAUUAAUUUUAUGGAAAACGUUUAUUAAUGAUGACAUAUAAGCCUUAGGACACCUAAUUACGACGUUUGUCGAAUGAUUUGAGCUUUUCAUCUGAAUACUAAAUAUCUUAUGGUAUCUUAUCUGUGACAUAUGAUGACUUAAUGCUAGAUAGAUAGGGACAUAUGAAAACUAUGAUUAUAGCUUAACAUUUAAUCUGAUGUUACAAAAAUUUCCUUUUGCAUAAAUUAAAAUGUAUUUGUUGCAAUCAAUUACUAUUUGAUGACAUAUAAGCCUUAGGACACCUAAUUACGAUAACUAUCGUAUGAUUUGAAUUUUUUUUCUGAUGUGUAUUGAUUGUUCAAAAUAAAUGUUGUUAAAAUGACUAUGAUGAAUUAAACUUAGGACACCUGUACGACAUCUUUACAGAUGAUUGAGUAUAACAUUUAAACUGAAAGUCUAAAAUCAUAUAAGUUAAAUUAAGAUUAAUUUUAUGGAAAACGUUUAUUAAUGAUGACAUAUAAGCCUUAGGACACCUAAUUACGACGUUUGUCGAAUGAUUUGAGCUUUUCAUCUGAAUACUAAAUAUCUUAUGGUAUCUUAUCUGUGACAUAUGAUGACUUAAUGCUAGAUAGAUAGGGACAUAUGAAAACUAUGAUUAUAGCUUAACAUUUAAUCUGAUGUUACAAAAAUUU